rnacentral:lncRNA from 1 species
AAUUAAGUUCACACAAUGGUAGUCUGAAAUCAAUCUCCAAAAUUAGAGGUUAUUCUGAGAGGAACAUUCUACAUAUAAAGAGUGUAUAAGUUUUGAGUAUGCGAGGCCAGAUUCAAAAAUUAAGAAAGUUUGAUGCAACCAAAACCAGUGAGUAAGGGAUUAUUAGGUAAGAGGGAAUAUCAUAUAGAAUGCAAAAAGUCAGGUAAAAGGUCUUGCAAAGCUUAGCAAGGGUCAGAAUUACAUGGAAAAACAAAGAUGAGUUCGGGAAUUAGGGCUUUGAAAUCAAACUAGUUCAGGGAUGAGAAAUAAACAAGUCAAAUACUAGUGGUCUGAAAACCCCCAAAUGCUAGGGUUUUCGCCAUUAAACAGGUGUAAAGACGAAAGCAGGAAAAUCAGGCAAAAGUAAAGUCAGAGAACCCAAAUGAACUUAGAACCUUAUACAUUUCAGGAAAACAUGAUAAGGGAACAAAAUACUUAAAAAGAACUCAUAGAGUGAUGGUAGAAGAUAUCAUGGUAGAAGAUAGCAUUGUAGAAGAGAACACAUAGGAAUCAUAGGAGUCACAGUAUGGCGAAUACAGUAAGGGUAACACAUAUGAAUCACAGUAGAACAAGUAAAAUCAAAGAAACCUAAGUCGGAGAAGAUGAACAUUUUUGAAAUCAAAAUUUUAAAAAGAAACUUAGGGGAAUCGUUUGAAAAAUUUAAACUAAAUGCAGAUCUGGAGCAGAUCUAGAGAAAUUAGGAGAACCUUGAAAGGCUAGGGUUUCAGAAGAACACUAGAAGCGAGAAAGGCAUGGAAAAGGGUCUGCUCCGAGUCGAAUGAGUCAGAGAUGGACUCAUAGUGCCGGGGUCGAGCCGGAGAUGGCCAUAAAACUCGAAUCGGCGGAGAUCUGAGCGAAGGCCUUCAAGCUCGAACCUUGAAUCUUCAAGUAACAGGGGUAUGAGAGCACAUGAGGGUGAGUAUAGGCCACCCAGGACUUGGGAUGCCAUGGAUUCCGGUGAAACAGGGUGGAAACUGGCAGAGUAGGGCUAGCGUUUCGGAGAGAUUUGGAGAGAGUUUAAGAGACGAAGGAAUUCUGGGGGAGGGGGCU